rnacentral:misc_RNA from 1 species
AAUAGAGAAGUGGCUCGCGCCCAUGAGAUCGUUGUUCGACAAGUCCCUCUUUGUUUUCUUCGCCAUGAACUGCUUUGUUGCAUCUCUUGCGGUUCGUGUGAGCGAGCGAGGAGGUGCGCCUCGGCUCAUGCUUGUGCUUGCCACGGAAGCACUGACGAAAGUGUACUCGGAGCGAAUUAGAUACAUAGAUCCAUCGAGCGGGCGAAUGGCAGUGCUAGAAUCCACCUAGUUUGUCUGAAUCCCGACGAAAAACCUGGAUAUGGAAUAUAGCGGCAACAGUUCUGCCGCCGCGCCAAGUCAAGGAGAAGGGCGAGGGACCACCAGACAAGGAAGCGGAAGAGCCUUCAGAAAACGGGACGAAGUGGUACAGGAAGGAAAGCUGUCGGAGCGGAAAUAUCAGUCUGAAACCGUUGCCAAGGUCUCCCGACAAACACACUUCAACGGGGAGGCUCUUCCAAAACGCGAAAUCCGGGACGUCGUGAAGGCUCGAGAAGCUCCUUACCCGAAUAAUGCGCGCCUAGCCUCUCUCGUCUUGAGCCGCCUGGUCAAGCAACGGUCUGCGGAAGUUCCGACAUAGGACUCCAUGGUGUCCACGUUCUUCUGGAGUUCCUCGAUGAAGACUUCGCGCGACGACGCGCAACUGAUGCUCUGAACGCAAUAUGCAGCACGGCCUGAUUGUAGGACGAGCGGCUACACACAUGAAUCGCAGAAUGCUUUGACGCGUCGUCGCUGUAUGUGGGCAACGAAAGAAAGCUACCGCGCUGUGCCAAAAAGUAUCAAACUAUCGUCAAAAACCGAAGAAAAUAUGCGGCCACUCUCGAGCGCUUCAUGAACCGCACCCUGUGGGCGAUGUACCCUCAAUUCACUGACCCAGGAAAGAGGGGACUGAUGGAUGAGUUUCUAGCGGUAUCUUUAUAGUUAAAAGGCGAGCUGCUCUGGGCGGACGAGAUGGAGUUCGUAGCAAGCGCAGAAGGGAAAACGCAACGAUCGCGAGAGCCGACUGUGGGGGCGCAGGCUCAUCGUAUUGCUCGCGGGGUCGGACCGACGCACGACCCAUAGAGGGGAUGGUUGAAAUGUGAUGCCUAGCUUCCUUGCAUACGAGCUACUGCGCUUUCUUCGAGGAAGCCCUCCAUAGCAACGCAAACUCCCUCACUGUGUGCGAGCGCCUAAGACUCCUCAAGCGUCCGUUCGAAGUACUCCCAUAUUUCAUAUCAAGGCCUGCCAUGUUACCGUAGGCAUAUUCGUUUCAUACUAGAUAGUUUCCGCGGCGAGCUAUGCCUCCUCUCUUCCGGUAAUUACGAAGCUUUCGAUCAGCUUCGUAUGGAGCAUUGCCGGAGCUCCCUCAGGGUUGCUUCGUUACGGGGAGGAAAUGGAAAGAAUUUUACAGGGGCGACGGAGACCUACGGGAUACCAGGCUGCAUGCACGUUGUGAAACCCUGAGCUGAGCCGAGCAACAAGACUCGUUCUCAAUCGUGCAUGGUAGCUUACGGGACAGUCUUUGUGGCGGGCGUGGAUCCCUGUAUGAAGAACGCCGUAGCUUCCGCCGUGCCCCUAAAUUGAAAGGACGCAUGCAAACAGCUGUGCGGCAAUCAGAUGGAGCAACUCAGCUUCUCCGGGGCUCGGCAUUAUCGCGAGCCGGGCAUGGUCGACUCAACGAGGCGUACCGGCACGCGGAAUGACGGCUUCAGGGCCCAUCCCGACGUUCUGCGCGCCGGAUUGACCAGAAACGGAUCCCCCGUGCGCUUGAUUCAGAGAGUGCCUGAGUGUCCAAAUGUCGUAUACGAACGAACAUUGGCCGGGUACUUGAAACAGCGCUGGGGUCGCCAACAUCUACCGAUUUGUAUAUGCAGGAAUCGUGAGAAUAUACUAGUUCAGUGAGUUAGAAAAGUAAAUGGCCGACAAGUCGCGUGGUUUUGUGUUAGUCUAUGGCGCUGGAGGUGCUGGGGCGCGUGCGGGCUGCUCUCCCUCUCCUUCGACGGGAGCGUACAACGCGUGCAGGAACCGAUUAGUACGAUUUACAUCGAUGCGCUUUGGACGGCAUAGAUCCAUCACGUGCGAAGGCGUAGGCUGCAGCAUCUGGAGAAGGCGAGAUUGAAACAGAGUCGGAUGCCACGAGAUCUUGGGCGGCAAGCUGACCGAACGUCGCAUUGCGAGGCAAUCGAAAGUGAGAAGCUCGUCAUAGUGUGAUAUCGCCAGCAACAGUGCACGGAAGCACGUUCUCCGCCGAGCCGGACGGGCCAAUCAACAACCCGAAAUGUUUGCUGGUCCUGGAGCGUACAGCGAGCUUGUGUCGAGCGAGCUUUGGUGGGAGUAUUGCAGUGCCCGUUGUGGGCAUCGUGCUGAAAUGGCGAGGACUUGCGAUAGACCCAAUUCAGUGGCCAAGAGGGGCGGCGCUGAAAUCCCGCCUGGAGCAGGGCACUUGCAUGGCAUGGUUCAGAGUCCGGGAAAGCUGGAGAGGCAUAUGGAUACACUAGGAAUGGUUUUCCUGGGUCGUUGGUGAAGGGUAAUCGUGUUCUAUUUUUUGUGAUAUUUCUGAGUGUGUUCUGCGUCGAGAGCGCGCGAGCUGAGGAGCGGGAUGCACCCUGAUGUAACUCACUUCUUCAGUGGGCUACCGCUUUCGUAACAAAAGUUUUUUGAUGGUCUGUUUUAAUCCUAUAUCAUUAAAUCACAAGCGACCU